UUAGCCGGUCAUUUUCUAGAUUGGCUCAGCAAUUAUUUCGGCUCUUUGUGUUUAAGUGAGUGUUUUUUCUGUCCCUGUCCAGUGUCUUUCUGCUUCACCAGAUAGGGAAGCCUCGGCAGCAUUUUCCCUCCAGAGAGCUGAGCCCUCACGGCCACAGAGGCUGGGGGACGAGGCGGGCGGAGCAGGGGCAGUGGCUUAGUGAAAGCCAGAGUUGCAGGUCCAGAGGGUCGCUGAGGCUCUCGGGCGGCGACUACAAAACGUGGACCAAGCAGCAGAAUCACCUGGAUGGCACGCACCCUACUUCCCAUGUGAUAACGUCACUGAGCAAAGCUGGGAACAGAAGUGGCCCCUCGGCACCUGUGAGCUGGGAAGGGAAGAGAAGCUUGGAGAACUAUUACACUUGGCCUCCAUCUCGUAUUGAUCACGGAGCCAGGAUCUGACCCUAAAUCUUGCUGAUUCCAGAGACCUUAUUAAGAAUCCACACGUCAAGGUUUGCAGUCGGUUUCCUUCUUUUCCUCAUCGCUUUGUGGGAGGAUCGAGUCACAUUACAUCCACAAAACACCUGACCCACAUCCAGCUACUGGUAUGCUCAUGCAAGAUGGUGGGUCCCGUCCUUCCUAU